rnacentral:rRNA from 1 species
AUUGAACGCUGGCGGCAUGCCUUACACAUGCAAGUCGAACGGUAACAGGUCUUCGGAUGCUGACGAGUGGCGAACGGGUGAGUAAUACAUCGGAACGUGCCCGAGAGUGGGGGAUAACGAGGCGAAAGCUUUGCUAAUACCGCAUACGAUCUCAGGAUGAAAGCAGGGGACCGCAAGGCCUUGCGCUCACGGAGCGGCCGAUGGCAGAUUAGGUAGUUGGUGGGAUAAAAGCUUACCAAGCCGACGAUCUGUAGCUGGUCUGAGAGGACGACCAGCCACACUGGGACUGAGACACGGCCCAGACUCCUACGGGAGGCAGCAGUGGGGAAUUUUGGACAAGGGGCGCAAGCCUGAUCCAGCCAUGCCGCGUGCAGGAUGAAGGCCUUCGGGUUGUAAACUGCUUUUGUACGGAACGAAAAGACUCUGGUUAAUACCCGGGGUCCAUGACGGCACCGUAAGAAUAAGCACCGGCUAACUACGUGCCAGCAGCCGCAGUAAUAC